AAAUAACAAAAUAUAAUAUGAAAACAAAUUGUAAACAGAGUUCAAGAUAAUAAACAUUGAGGAUGGUGUUAAAAGAAGACAUAUUUAAAAUUUUGUUUAUUUAUAUUAAAAAUAGUUCAGUAAAUAAUUUGUGAAAAUCUUUAUUGUGAAGUCUUGGAGAAUUGUGGAACUUUAGAACUGUGUAUAUUUGAUAUGUCUAUUCAUGCAGUCUUCAAUGAAUGUCAUGGCAAUGGUGGACAAUAGAAUAUUGCUCCAUGAAAAAGGCUUGACUUUUUAUAUUAAGAAAGUUCUAACAAAAAAGUUAUCAAUGAUAUCUAAAGAGACAAAAGACUGUGAGAAUGAUUAAAAACUCUAUAGGUUUUAAUGACAUUAAUGUUCUAUAGUGAAGAUAUAUAUUUGCGUACAAACUGUUCUAUAAUGAAGACACGUUCCUACAUACUGCUCUAUAGUGAAGACAUGUUCCUACAUAAUGGUCUAUAGUGAAGACAUGUUCCUACAUAAUGUUCCAGAGAAGGCAUAUUCCUACAUAAUGGUCUAUAGCGACGAUCAACAUAUGAACUAAAACACAAAACAGAUGUUCCUAAGUUGCAUGAAGUAUCCAGAAGACAGACUGCUUCCUUUUGCAAUGAAGUAUCCAGAACACAUUGCUGAUCAGAUUUCCAGCUCCCCAUUUCAUAUUCUGAUGUUUUCUUGAGAAAAAAAAGAUUUUGCAUGUUCUUCCUGAAAGGAGAAAUGUUUGAGAUUUAAGCUGGUGGAGAUCUCGAAUUGAGGAUUAUUUGCAGACUUGAUGACUUCAGAUUUCCUGUUCCACAACUUGUUCUAAAGAAAAUCCUAGGACUUUGGAGCAUAAGAUUAUAUAAUUCUAGGUUGAUGCAGUAAUGGAUAUUUAAAGAGAUUUAAGACUGAUGGAUAAUAUAGAUUAAUGAUUACAACAAAUUGUGCUACAAGUAUCAAACCCGCCAAACUUAUCUUGAUUAGAGUAAAACAUACCACUGAAUCUCACUUCCUACAGGGUUGAUAAUCAGCAAAACUAUUAAAUGGGAGUAAAACUUAGGAGCAGGAUCUCACCUCAUACAAGGGAGGAGGAAGAAUUGAACUGAUGAACUUAAAAACAUCUGAAAGGUAUACAAAAGGAAGACAGAACAUAUAGGAUAAGGAAACAGAAAGAUGAGCUCAUAGAGUAAAGUGUAGAUGAAAUUAGAAAAAAAAACUGAAAUUAACCAACAUUCCAGCUGACUUAUCACCAACUUAGAGGUUAGAGCUGACUCAACUGAUGAACAUAGUCAACUGAUGAACAAAACAAACUUUAACAUAGUAACAGCAUAGUAAAACAAUGAACAUGUCAAUAUUAACAGCAUAGUAAAACAAUGAACAUGUCAAUAUUAACAGCAAAGUAAAACAAUGAACAUGUCAAUUUUAACAGCAAAGUAAAACAAUGAACAUGUCAAUAUUAACAGCAAAGUAAAACAAUGAACAUGUCAGAGACUAAUAUUCUUGUCAAUUAAAAUAUAUGACUGAAAUUUCAUAAUUGUAUAUGGUCAACAGGAGAGAGAGAAAUAUGAAGAAUGGUCAAGAGUGGGAAAGGGAGCACACUCAUGUAUGAUGAUGAGAGAGGAGAGAGAUAAGAAAUAUUGCAACUGGUAAAUUUGUCUUCAACCAAACACAUGGCUUGUGAUGAUGUGUCUUAACCUUAGACAUAUGAUUUUUUUUAUUAUCUACAGCUCUGUUAAGAGAAAUGUAAAAAAUAACAUGAACACAAAAUUUAAACAAUUCUAGAUAGUAAUCAUUGAGGGUGGUGUAAAAAGUGGGCAUAUUUUAAAUUUUCUUUUUUUCACCAAUAUAUUCAUGAAAUUCAAAAUGAGAAUGUUUAAUUGGACAUACAAUUCUUUUGAUUUUAGAUAUUUAGAGACAAAACCUGUUGUUCUUUAUUUAUUACAGUCUAAAAGUGUCAUAGAUUUGCAUUAUUCUUAUUUUGAAUGUCUUUGCUUAUACCUCUAACCUUAGACAUCCAAUAUUUUUAUUAUCUAGAGCUCUGUAAACAAAAAAAAAUGUAGAAAGAUAACAAAAAUAACAACAAAUAAUAUGAGAACAAAAUUGUAAACAGAGUUCUAGAUAACAAACAUUAAGGAUGGUGUAAAAAGAAGGUAUAUAUUUUGAAUUAUCUCCACCCUCCAAAUAUAUUUAUGAAAAUAAAUACCAAGAGAUAUUUAUUGGUGAAUGAUGGAUAAGUUUUUUCUUUUCAUUAGUGUACAUAUUUUUAAAAUGUUUUUUGUCAAGCUAUACAUUUUUCUUAGACAUUGAAAUUGCUUUUUUGGUAAAUAUGUUUAAAUAAAUAAAUAUGGUGUAUUUACUGUCUUCUGAUUGGUUAAAAUUAUUAGUUUUAUUUUCAAUGUUGUCAAUUUUUAUGGCGACACGCCCACUCUGACGUUGUGUAUUCAUACGCAACAUGUGUGUACGUUGUUAUUGUUAAUAUAAAUAAUAUAAAAAGCCUUAUUUUUGAUGAAAAUUUAUUUAUAAUGAAUGGCAAUAAUUUAUUUUGAUUUUAUUGAACCAUAAAACUAAUUUUUGACUCUUCACAUUUUACAUAAUCUGCUUUGCGGAUUAUUCAAUGUGAAGAGUCAAAAAUUAGUUUUAUGGUUCAAUAAAUUCAAAAUAGAUUAUAGCCAUUCAUUAAUUGGAAGCAUAUAUAUCACCCUUACAUUGCCUUUAAUUUGCAAUAUUCUGAUUUCAAAUAUCCUUGCUUAUACCUUGAACCUUAGACAUCCAAUAUUUUUAUUAUCUAGAGCUUUGUAUUAAAAAAAAUGUAAAAAAAGAAAUAUGAAAACAAAAUUGUAAACAGAGUUCUAGAUGAUAAACAUGAAGGGUGGUGUUAAAAGUGUGUAGGCUUCAAAAUGACCCCCCCCCAAAAAAAAUUAAAAAAAGUCAUGAAAUUAAAUACAACAUAUAAUUUUUGGUGAAUGAUUUGUAUAUUGGUAUAUUAAAUUGAUUUUUUGUCAAGCUGUACAUUUUUCUUAGGUAUUGAAAAUGGCUUUAAAGUUAAUAUGUUUAGUUGGAUGUAGAAUUCUUUGAAUAUUAGAUAUUGGAGACAAAACCUAUCUAAGCUGUAUAUUACACUCUAUUUUAACAGUGUCUUAAAUUUGCAAUGUCCUUGCUUAUAUCUCUAACCUUAGACAUCCAAUAUUUUUAUUAUCUCGAGCUCAGUAAAACAAAAUGUAGAAAAAAUCAAAAAUAACAAAAAUUAUAUGAAAAAAAAAUUGUAAACAGAGUUCUAGAUAAUAAACAUUAAGGAUGGUGUACAAAGUGGGUAUAUUUUGAAUUUUUUAAUUGCCUUAAAGUUUGAAUGGUUAAAUGGAUGUUUUGAGAUAAAUCCCAUCAUUUCUAUUUACUGUGUAACAGUGUCUCAAAUUUUGCAAUAUUGUGAUUUUGAAUAUCCUUGUUAACUGAGUUAGCUCAAACUUUUAUCUUUUGAAUUCCAUUCAGUAUUGAAAUAAAAUGUGAUGCCAAU